GACGAACGCUGGCGGCGCGCCUCAUACAUGCAAGUCGAGCGAGAACCAGGGCUUGCCCUGGGGAGAGCGGCGAACGGGUGCGUAUCACGUGAGCAACCUGCCUCAGAGACCGGGAUAACUCGAGGAAACUCGGGCUAAUACCGGAUGCCCUCGGUGGAUCGCAUGGUCCGGCGAGGAAAUGGAUUCCGCUCUGAGAUGGGCUCGCGGCCUAUCAGCUUGUUGGUGGGGUAACGGCCUACCAAGGCGACGACGGGUAGCUGGUCUGAGAGGACGAUCAGCCACACUGGGACUGAGACACGGCCCAGACUCCUACGGGAGGCAGCAGUAGGGAAUCUUGCGCAAUGGGCGAAAGCCUGACGCAGCGACGCCGCGUGCGGGAUGAAGGCCUUCGGGUCGUAAACCGCUUUCAGCAGGGACGAAAUUGACGGUACCUGCAGAAGAAGGCCCGGCCAACUACGUGC
rnacentral:rRNA from 1 species